rnacentral:rRNA from 1 species
GACCUGGGCUACACACGUGCUACAAUGGUUGGUACAACGAGUUGCGAGUCGGUGACGGCGAGCUAAUCUCUUAAAGCCAAUCUCAGUUCGGAUUGUAGGCUGCAACUCGCCUACAUGAAGUCGGAAUCGCUAGUAAUCGCGGAUCAGCACGCCGCGGUGAAUACGUUCCCGGGCCUU